rnacentral:siRNA from 1 species
ACCACUCAACGACCAUCUCCUCGC